rnacentral:lncRNA from 13 species
AUUCACUAUGUAACUUCUUUAGGUAUCUUUUCUUUAUUUAACUGUUGCCUUUUCUUUCUCUCUUUUCUUUCUUUCUUUCUUUUUUUUUUUUUUUUUUGAGACAGAGUCUCAGUCUGUUCCCAGGCUAGAGUGGAAUAGCGUGAUUUUGGCUCAUUGCAAUCUCUGAGUCCUGGGUUCAAGUGAUUCUCCUGCCUCAGCCUCCCAAGUAGCUGGGAUUACAGGCACUCAACACCAUGCCCAGGUAAUUUUCAUAUUUUUAGUAGAGAUGGGGUUUCACUAUGUGGUCCAGCCUGGUCUUGAACUCCUAACAUCAGGUGAUCCACCUGCCUCAGCCACCCAAGGCGCUGGGAUUACAGGAGUGAACCACAGCACCCAGCUGCCUUCUUUAUUUUUUGUACUAAUCAGUGAAAAAUCUUUGAUUUUUUUUUCAGGACAUGAGAAACAUUUUACCUUGGCAAUGUAGCAAAGUUUGAAGAGAUAGGCCACCCAAGAAAAGGUACAGAAUGAGGUGGAACUGCGAGGGAGAUGAAAGCAGAAAUAUCUGGUCGGGUGCGAUGGCUCAAGCCUGUAAUCCCAGCACUUUGGGAGGCCGAGGUGGGUGGAUCAUGAGGUCAAGAGCUCGAGACCAUCUUGGUCAACAAGUUCUGAAGAAGCUUCCAUGUGGUGAGAGAGUACAUGGAGGGGGCCAUACGAAGGGGGCCAUGUGGCAAGGAACUGUAGCUGCCACUGAGUGCUUCGAGCAAUCCCUGACCAACAGUAAGAACAUAGAACCACAGUGCAACAGUUGCAAAGAGAUGAAUUUUGUUAACAACAUGAAGAUGUUGGAAAUGGAUUAUUCUCUAGUCCAGGCUAUGAUCACCACAGCCCUGGUCAACACCUGAAUUUCAGCCUGGUGAGACCCUGGAGCAGAGAACUCACCUAGGAUAUGCCUGACUUCUGUCUUACAGAAACACAAAAAUAAUAAAUGUGUGCUAUUUUAAGCUGCA